rnacentral:rRNA from 1 species
UACAUGGGGUGCAAACGUUGCUCGGAAUCAUUGGGCGUAAAGCGCGCGUAGGCGGUUACUUAAGUCGAAUGUGAAAGCCCUCGGCUUAACUGAGGAAGUGCAUCCGAAACUGAGUAGCUAGAGUACGAAAGAGGGUCGCGGAAUUCCCGGUGUAGAGGUGAAAUUCGUAGAUAUCGGGAGGAACACCGGUGGCGAAGGCGGCGACCUGGGUCGAGACUGACGCUGAGGCGCGAAAGCGUGGGGAGCAAACGGG